UACAGAGGUGACAAGCGUUGUUCGGAAUUACUGGGCGUAAAGGGCGAGUAGGCGGCCUUCUAAGUCAGACGUGAAAAUCCCCCGGCUUAACCUGGGAACUGCGUCUGAUACUGGGAGGCUUGAGUAUGGGAGAGGGAUGUAGAAUUCCAGGUGUAGCGGUGAAAUGCGUAGAUAUCUGGAGGAAUACCGGUGGCGAAGGCGGCAUCCUGGACCAUUACUGACGCUGAAUCGCGAAAGCUAGGGGAGCAAACGGG
rnacentral:rRNA from 1 species